ACUUUCAGUAGCUCUCUAGGCCUGGGUACCGAAGGGAGGGAGGCGAGCGGAGGUGGGGAAAUGGGUGCCCCCCAGUCCUUCCACCCUCCUCAUUCGUUCAGGGCAGCGGGAUCCCCGAAUCCUCCUUUCCCCCAACACGCAGGCACUCGCAGAGUCCCGCACCCACUUCUGUCCGGCAGCCGCUGCUCCAGAGCAAGGGUAGAGAACCUCCGAGCUGGACAAUCCAUCUCCCAGCUGCCAGGUUUGGCCAGAGGGGGAUGUGAGCCAAGUAAUGUCAUCAGAGCCUUAAGACGUUGGAAUCUUAGUUCCCCAACCAGGGAUUGAACCCGGGCCACGGCAGUGAAAGCACCGAGUCCUAAGCACUGGACUGCCAGGGGCUCCACCCGGGAAUACCACAGACGGUUUGCCAUGGAUCAAGACUCCUCUGGAGAAAGCUCACAGGAAGGCUGCUGUGAGAAAUGAAGUCCCUUGCUGUUUCCCCGAUUUCCUCAUCAAGAGGCGCCAAAUGAAGUCACUGCACGUUUGAACGGGGGCCAUCAAAGCACGGCCUCUGACCAGUUCAGAGGCAGACGUGGGCUUGGGCGGCCAGUGACUGAACGGCGGCGGCAUGGAAAAUCUGAGGUGGUGGAUGGUUGAAAUAAAGCUCCUGUAGGAGAGUUAUGUGUGCUUCACUCAACAGUGCUCCGUGACGGGGGCCCAGGGUGUACACCUGAGCUGUGAAUAGGCUUGUUCAUUUACCGGUUAGCCCCUUAUUUAUUCAGUAAGUUCUGAUUAUGUACUUAAGAGGCACCAUGCUAGGUGUAUAGGAUGGACAAGACAAAAUCCUCACCCCACAGGGGCUACAGUCUAGAGAGGGGAGGCCGGAGCAAGAUUACAGUGAUCUGUACCAAGUACUGAGUAGUCUCGUGUCACCACUUGACAUCACUACCCCCCAAAGCCGCCCUCCUCCUGGCCUCUCCCUAUGCUCAGCGUAGCCCCCUUCCCUCCAGCUUCUUUCUGCCUGGAUCCCAUCUUCCUUCUGAGCUGGGUCGCUGUUGGGCUGCAGGCAGUGACAAAGGUGGCAAUAAAGAAGCAGAGUUAAGCCCUCAGUGUCCUAAGGGAAUCCCAGGUGGAGCGGGCUGGGUGAUUUUGUUUGCCGCCUCUGUUCUCUGGGCCACCCUGGCCCUGGAGGCUGCCCUGUGCAGACGGCAUCACCUGGGCUCCUGACUUCCCAUCUGUGGUCUGGCUUGGCCAGCAUGGGUCCUGGCAGGGAGGGGAGAGAGGAGCCAAGGUACUUGUCUCCCUGUCCCCUGCCUGCCUCUCCGCCACCGGCCUGCCUGAAGUCCUGGCAGGGGUUGUGGUUCCCCGGUGGCCCUGGCUUUGCUGGGUGGUUGCUCUUCCCGACCCCAGUUUUGUUGGCACCAUUUCAACCCUUUUGGUACCUCAUCAGCCCUUAACGGUUCCCUUAAUUCCAACUAUGCCUUGAAAAUUGUCAUGUCAUUAAACUCUCUUCAGUGGAGCCCUU